GCUAGCUUUCUUCCUAUUCAGUUCAUGUUGUGCCAGUAAAAUAUCUGGUCAGAUUAAGGUAAAAUAAUUGUCGUAAAAGUGAAGGAGCAGCAUUCUACACACAGAGCACAUCCUGUGAAGUGGAAGGAUGCCUGAUACAACUGAGAACAUGAAAGAAGACAGAUGGAGGGAGAUCUCAGAGAAAAGUGGCAGGACUGGCAGGCACAGAUAGUUGGCAUGUGAACUGAGAGUAUGGAGGAAUCACCAGGUAAACUGGUUAAAGAAGAAGACGGAAUAACCAGCCCACAGCUUUACGUCCACAGCCCCUGCCUUCCUGUUCUCAAAUUAUCAUUAAGAACAUCAUUCUCCACCACAGCUCCAGGUCAGUCCCAGUGAGCCCAGCCAGCAAGGGAUCUUCCCGGCGCAGGAACCUCCAUCCUAUGAGGACACUGAAGGGGCUACACAUGACACCAUCAAUAAAAAUUGUCUGUGACAUAAAAAUUCAUAUAUUUUAACACUGCUGUUUUCUUGCAAAUAUUACAGAGUAGGAACCCGUAACUUGUAAUGCUUACAUUUAGUCUAUUAUAUAACAAGAAGAUUGACCUAAAACUCUUUAAAGAGGAAAAGUAUCUAAAAUAAAAAUGAAUAAAUCCUGAAACAUAUCUUUAAAAAUACCAAUUCCCUUUGGAUAUAUAAUCAAUAAUAGGAUUGCUGUAUUAUAUGGUCAUUUCAUUUUUAAUUUUUUGGGAAACCUCCAUAUUGUUAUUCAUAAUGGCUGUACUAGUUUAUAUUCCUAUCAACAGUGUGUAAGAGUUCUCUUUUCUCAUCAUCCUUCCCAGCAUUUAUUAUUUUUCUUAAUUACAGUAAUUCUAACUAGAGUGAGGUGGUAUCUCAUUGUGGUUUUGGUUUGCAUUUCCAUGAUGAUAGUGAUGUAGAGCAUUUUUUCAUAUAUCUGUUGGCCAUUUGUAUGUCUUCUUUUGAAAAAUGUUUAUUCAUGUGUUUGCUUAUUUUAAAAUUGGAUGAUUUUGUGGGGGGGGAAGGCCAGAUACAGGAUCAACCUAAACAUCCAUCUAAUGAUGAAUGAAUAAAAUAAAUGUGUUAUAUAUACAUAUGUACAAAUAUACACAUACAUACAAAUAUACACAUACAUAUACAAUUUGGUGUAUAUCCCCCCCACACACACAAAUAUAUAUACACAUAUACACAAUGGAAUACAGUUUAUCCAUAGAAAAUCAUGAAAUCCAGCAUGGAUGAACCUAGAGGAUGUUACGUUAAAUAAAAUAAGCCAGGCACAGAAAAGCAAAUAAUGCAUGAUCUCACUCAUAUACGGAACCUGAAAAAGCUGAUUUCAUAGGAGAGAUUUCAUAGAAGUAGAGAGUAGAAUAGUGAUUACCAGAAGCUGGGGAUGGAUGGUAGGGAGGAGGGGAGACCAGGAGAGGCCGGUCAAUGGGUACAGAGUUACAAUUAGGAAAAAUAUAUUUUUGUGUUUUAUCACACAGUAGGGUGACUAUAGCAAAUGACAGUGUAUUGUAUGUUUCAAGACAGCUAGAAGAGAAGAUUUUGAAUGUUGCCACCACAAAAAAAGAUAAAUGUCUAAAGUGAUGAAUAUGGUAAUUACCCCCAUUUGAUGUAGUGUGCAUACAUGCAUUGUAACAUCAUAUUGUAGGCCAUAAAUAUCUACAAUUAUAAAUUUUAAAAUUAUAAAUUUGAGUUAAAUAAAAAUAAAAAUACAAAAUAUAGAGAUUUACAUAGUCCAUUUUAAUGACUCACUAAAUACUAAGUAGCUAGAGAUACUUUGGAAUUUCUGUUCUUGUGAUAUCACAUAUUUUAAUAACAGACAUUAAAAUAUGUACAUAAUUAUUAAAAUCUGGGUUUUUACAUGUCUUUGCUUUUUAAUUACUUUGUUUUAAUUUUUUAAUUUCAGUAGGUUUUUGGGGAGCAGGUGGUAUUUGGUUAUAUGGAUGCAUUUUUAGUGGUGAUUUCUGACAUUUUGGUGCACACAUCACCCAAGCAGUGUACACUGUACCCAAUAUGUGGUCUUUUAUCUCUCACCUCCCUCCCACCCUUUCCCCCAAGUCCCCACAGUCCAUUCUAUCAUUCUUAUGCCACUGCGCCCUCAUAGCUUAGCUCCCACUUAUGAGUGAGAACAUACAAUGUUUGGUUUUCCAUUCCUGAGUUACUUCACUUAGAAAAAUGGAAUUUCUUUAACCAAUAUCUCCUGAUUAAUAGUUUUCUUUAUUUUGCUCCUUGUUAUCUACUAUAAAGAUACUAUAACACAUGUCCUUCAUUUAAACCUUUCAAAAUUGUGCAAUUAUAUCCUUGGGAAAAAUUUAUGAAAACUAGGAUUUCUGUAAUGUCAAAGGGGAAAAGUGUCAUUUACUUUUGUAUCUCGUGGAGUGCCUGAAGAAAAACCUUAAAAAUAAUAGAUGUUUAAUAAAUAGUGGCUGAAUGAAUGAAUUCAUGAGUAAAUUAGUGGUUGGUAAAUUAAUGAUUGGUUACUAGAUGGGACUACUUAUUUUCAUAGAAAAAUCCUGCAAGAAUUACAAAGAAAUAAAUAAUAAGGCAUGAAAUGUACAGGGUAAAAGACAUAAAUAAAUAAAACAUAUAAAUUUCCCCCUGAUAAAUAUAUCUGAAAAUGUUGAUAAAUUAUUAUUACUCAUAGUCAUAUUGUAAGUGGAAAAAAAUGAAUAUAAAAGAAAAUAAUGUUCUUACUUUUUUACUGUACCAAUUGGUAUGUACUGAGCAUUUCGUCUCUAAAGAAAAUUUUAAUUCUUUUUCUAUGACAACUGGAAGGUGACAUAUUUGGAAGUGUAAAGAAAUGUUGCCACGAUUAAACAUGUGACGUAACUCUCACACUGAUAAAUUUUUUAAAAACCUGCCAUGUACAAAUUAAAUUAACGUAUUUGGUGGUGUUUUACAACUGUAUUAAUAAUCGUUUUAUUUUUAAUAAUUUUUAUUGUGUAUAUUUAAGGUGUGUAACAUAAAGCUUGGAUAUGCCUAUACAUAAGUCAUUGCUACAGUCAAGUAAAUUAAAAUGCCCAUCACUUCAUAUAGUUUUCCUCCAUCCCUCCCUUCCUUUCCUUUCCUUCCUUCCUUCCUUCUUUCCUUUCCCUUUCUUUCUUUCUCUUUCCUUCCUCCCUUCCCUUCCUCUCUCCCUCCUUUCCUCUCUCUCUUCUUUCUUUCUUAUACAUAUCUUGGCAAAUAGCUCGACUAUAGUCCUUAUGUUGUUCAUUAGGUCUCUCAGAAUUAUUUAUCCUAUAUAACUGUAAUGUUGCAUGUUAAGAACUCCCACCAUGAGAAAUGAAAAAACAGCUAUGUAAAAAUAAUAUAAUUUGUAAAUUUAAAUGACAGAUUAUUUGGAAUAAAU
rnacentral:lncRNA from 1 species